UACAGAGGGUGCGAGCGUUGUCCGGAAUCACUGGGCGUAAAGGGCGCGUAGGUGGCGACCCAAGUCGAUGGUGAAAGCUCGCCGCUCAACGGCGAGUCGGCCACCGAUACUGGGUUGCUGGAGCACUGUAGAGGCUGAUGGAAUUCCGGGUGUAGCGGUGGAAUGCGUAGAGAUCCGGAAGAACACCGGUGGCGAAGGCGGUGAGCUGGGCAGUUGCUGACACUGAGGCGCGACAGCGUGGGGAGCAAACAGG
rnacentral:rRNA from 1 species